rnacentral:rRNA from 1 species
GACGAACGCUGGCGGCGUGCUUAACACAUGCAAGUCGAACGGAAAGGCCCUGCGUUUGUGGGGUGCUCGAGUGGCGAACGGGUGAGUAACACGUGAGUAACCUGCCCUUGACUUUGGGAUAACUUCAGGAAACUGGGGCGAAUACCGGAUAGGAGCUCCUGCUGCAUGGUGGGGGUUGGAAAGUGUCGGCGGUUGUGGAUGGACUCGCGGCUUAUCAGCUUGUUGGGGGGGUAGUGGCUUACCAAGGCUUUGACGGGUAGCCGGCCUGAGAGGGUGACCGGCCACAUUGGGACUGAGAUACGGCCCAGACUCCUACGGGAGGCAGCAGUGGGGAAUAUUGCACAAUGGGCGGACGCCUGAUGCAGCAACGCUGCGUGCGGGAUGACGGCCUUCGGGUUGUAAACCGCUUUCGCCUGUGACGAAGCGUGAGUGACGGUAAUGGGUAAAGAAGCCCCGGCUAACUACGUG